rnacentral:lncRNA from 1 species
GCGGCCUGUCAUUAUUACCACAACCUCUCUGACGUGUGUGUGUUUGUGUGUCUUCUUCUUCCCACAGAUUGCGAGCCCGAGGUACUGUUGGAUUGGUCGUUUGAUGUAAAUUGUCUCUUUUGCUGCUUAAGACGAGAGAAAGUCAAGGAACACUUGGUUGGCAUCACUCCCCAGGUCUUAUCAGAGUCAGAGGACUUGAAACAGGACACGUCCAAAAUCAACCGCCUGGAGAAGCAAGCCGAAGAGUUCCUCAAUGCUGUCUUCUACAGAAAGGACCUCCCAAGCUUCUCGGACCCUCACAUCC